GAUGAACGCUGGCGGCGUGCCUAAUACAUGCAAGUAGAACGCUGAAGGAGGAGCUUGCUCUUCUGGAUGAGUUGCGAACGGGUGAGUAACGCGUAGGUAGCCUGCCUGGUAGCGGGGGAUAACUAUUGGAAACGAUAGCUAAUACCGCAUGACAACAGUUAUUGCAUGAUAACUGUUUAAAAGGGGCAACUGCUCCACUACCAGAUGGACCUGCGUUGUAUUAGCUAGUUGGUGAGGUAACGGCUCACCAAGGCGACGAUACAUAGCCGACCUGAGAGGGUGAUCGGCCACACUGGGACUGAGACACGGCCCAGACUCCUACGGGAGGCAGCAGUAGGGAAUCUUCGGCAAUGGACGGAAGUCUGACCGAGCAACGCCGCGUGAGUGAAGAAGGUUUUCGGAUCGUAAAGCUCUGUUGUAAGGGAAGAACGAGUGUGAGAGUGGAAAGUUCACACUGUGACGGUAUCUUACCAGAAAGGGACGGCUAACUACGUG
rnacentral:rRNA from 1 species